rnacentral:rRNA from 1 species
AUUGAACGCUGGCGGCAGGCUUAACACAUGCAAGUCGAGCGGAGUGAUGGUGCUUGCACUAUUACUUAGCGGCGGACGGGUGAGUAAUGCUUAGGAAUCUGCCAUUUAGUGGGGGACAACAUUCCGAAAGGAAUGCUAAUACCGCAUACGUCCUACGGGAGAAAGCAGGGGAUCUUCGGACCUUGCGCUAAAUGAUGAGCCUAAGUCGGAUUAGCUAGUUGGUGGGGUAAAGGCCUACCAAGGCGACGAGCUGUAGCGGGUCUGAGAGGAUGAUCCGCCACACUGGGACUGAGACACGGCCCAGACUCCUACGGGAGGCAGCAGUGGGGAAUAUUGGACAAUGGGCGGAAGCCUGAUCCAGCCAUGCCGCGUGUGUGAAGAAGGCCUUUUGGUUGUAAAGCACUUUAAGCGAGGAGGAGGCUCUCCUAGUUAAUACCUAGGAAGAGUGGACGUUACUCGCAGAAUAAGCACCGGCUAACUCUGUGCCAGCAGCCGCCGUAAUAC